rnacentral:rRNA from 1 species
CAGCCGUAAACUAUGCGCGUUAGGUGUAUCGGUGACCACGAGUCACCGAGGUGCCGAAGGGAAACCGUGAAACGUGCCGCCUGGGAAGUACGGUCGCAAGGCUGAAACUUAAAGGAAUUGGCGGGGGAGCACCACAACAGGUGGAGCCUGCGGUUUAAUUGGACUCAACGCCGGGAAGCUCACCGGAUAGGACAGCAGAAUGAUUGCCGGGCUGAAGACCCUGCAUGACUAGCUGAGAGGAGGUGCAUGGCGUAGUCGUGU